rnacentral:rRNA from 1 species
AUGCAUCGCUCGGUUGCCAGGCUGCUCGCCUUGCUCCUCGCCGCAGCCGUGUCCUGCGGCUUCUUCGUCGCCGCCCAUGCCCGGCAGCUCCAGCCGGCCCAUGCGGCUGGCGCGAGCUGCUUGCCGCGCGAGAGUGACGCACUGCUCGCCUUCAAGCAAGCCGUCAGCGACAUCUACGACAACCUCGCCUCGUGGCAAAAACGGCACAAAGAUUGUUGCCGGUGGAGGGGCGUCACCUGCAGCAACGAAACCGGCCAUGUGAUCGAGCUUGACAUUGGUCGCACCUAUUUGUUCGGCAAGAUAAGUCCUUCCCUGCUUUCUCUCGAGCAUCUGGAGUACCUAAAUCUCAACUGGACCUACCUACUUGGACCAGACGGUACUUCUUUAUUUCCAGAACUCUUGUGUUCUUUAAGCAACUUGAGGCACCUCGAUCUCUCAUGGACACAAUUCUCUGGUAGAUUGCCUGCUCAGCUUGCAAACCUUUCAAAUUUGGAGUACCUUGAUCUCUCAAACACAAAUUUCUCUGGUAGGUUGCCUGCUCAGCUUGCAAACCUUUCAAACUUUGAGUACCUCGAUCUCUCAUGGACAUCCCUGCACGGGCCUAAUGGUCGCGCUCCAGAGUUCUCGUCUUGUAAAAACUUGAGACAUCUCGAUCUUAGAGGCACACCAUUGUCUGGUAGAGUCUCUCCUCAGUUUUUCAACCUUUCAAAGUUAGAGUAUCUCGACCUCUCCUGCACUAGCAUGUCAGGUAUACUGACGCCUCAGCUUGGAAACCUUUCAAACUUGCGACACCUUGACCUCAGUUCAAUACAAGAUAUACACACAUCAGAUAUCUCAUGGUUAACUCAUCUCCAUUUCCUGGAAUUUCUUGAUAUGAGUGACAUAAAUCUCAGCGGCGCGGAUGUGUUUCUCGUGGCCAACACAAUCCCAUCUCUGAAGGCCCUUAUUCUUGUCAGUUGCUCACUUCCAAAUGCCAGCCAGUUGCUUACGCACGUAAACCUCACAAAACUAGAGCAGCUUGAUCUCUCCAGUAACUAUUUGGGCCACCGAAUUGAAACAUGUUGGUUCUGGAACCUAACAAGCAUCAAGGAACUAACACUCGAUUCAACCUAUCUUUAUGGUCCAUUCCCUGAUGUGCUAGGAGGUAUGAUUUCUCUCCAGCAGCUGGAAUUUACCAACAACGGUAAUUCAGCCACAAUAACGGUGGACUUGAAAAAUCUUUGUGAUUUAGAGUACCUAGAGCUCGAUCGGAGUCUUGCGUCUGGGAACCUGACAGAUUUUGUGAUGAAACUGCCACAAUGUUCGUCCAGCAAAUUGCAGUACUUGAGCUCAAAUCACAACAAUAUGGCAGGAAUGCUGCCAAAUAUGGUGGGGCACUUCACCAGCCUGGAGUACCUUUACCUUUAUAAUAACAGCAUUACUGGAGCUAUACCAACUGGGUUAGUGAAUUGUACUAGUUUGCAAUCAGUUUCUCUCGGUUUGAACCAACUAAGUGGACAGAUACCAACAUUGCCGAGAAGCCUCACUGAGGUGGACUUAUCCAUGAACAGCUUGUCGGGACCUUUGCCAUCAGAUUUUGGAGCUCCAGACCUUACAGUACUAAGUCUAUCCUCCAAUUACAUCACUGGUCACGUUCCUAGACCUAUUUGUAAGUUGCAAAACCUAGUUUUCUUGGAUUUGUCCCGGAAUAUGUUUGUGGAAGAAUUUCCUAGGUGUUCUUCAAUGCCAAACUUGGCAUUCCUAUACUUAAGUAAUAAUAACUUCUCCGGAAAUUUCCCGCCAUUGCUCCAAAAAUGCUCAGAAUUGACUUUCCUAGAUCUUGCAAUGAACAAGUUCGAUGGAGCACUACCAGUAUGGAUCGGAGACCUAGUGAACUUACGGUUUCUGCAGCUAAACAAUAACAUGUUCUAUGGGGAUAUUCCAGCUAACAUCACAAGUCUUGUACUACUUCAACAAUUCAGUUUAGCGAGCAACAAUAUAUCAGGAUCAAUUCCAUCAUCCUUGUCAAAAUUAAUAGGUAUGACCCUGAAACAUCUGCCAAGACUUGAAUCACGGUGGACUGAAAACAGAUUUCAGCGGCUGCCCGUGGAUAUUUUGUCUGUGGUGAUGAAGCAGCAAGAGCUUAAGUUUAGCGGUAAUGCAGUUAUUGACAUGGUCAGCAUUGAUUUGUCGCUCAACCACUUGACCGGUGAAAUUCCAGAUGAGAUAACUUCUCUGAAAGGACUGUUGAGUUUGAAUUUAUCAUGGAAUCACCUGGGCCAGAAAAUUCCUGUGAAGAUUGGGGAUAUGAAAUCACUGGAAUCACUCGACUUGUCAAGGAACAAUAUCUCCGGUGAAAUCCCAACGAGCCUAUCAGAUUUGACAUAUCUAAGCUUCUUGGACUUGUCAUACAACAAUCUUGCAGGAAGAAUUCCAAUAGGCCGUCAACUCGACACUCUGUAUGCAGAAGAUCCGUCCAUGUACGAUGGCAACAAUCGCCUUUGCGGGCCUACUCUUCAAAGGAAUUGCUCAGGCAGCAGUCCACCAGAGCAUGGGAAUCAACAGAGAAGUGAAAAUUCUUAUGACCAAUUGAUGUUCUUCUACAUUGGGCUAACGUCUGGCUUUGUGGUUGGACUAUGGCUUGUGUUCUGUGCUUUCUUGUUCAAAAGGGCGUGGAGAUAUGCCUACUUUUGCCUCUUCGACGAGCUAUGUGACAGGGUGUACGUGAUUGUUGUUGUUACUUGGGGCCGGAUAAACACCAAGGCGGCUGCAGGUUGA